GACAGCUGAAUGAUAGUCGGGCUGAAGACUCUACUUGACUAGCUGAGAGGAGGUGCAUGGCCGGUCGUCAGUUCGUACUGUGAAGCAUCCUGUUAAGUCAGGCAACGAGCGAGACCCACGCCAACAGUUGCCAGCUCGUCCUCCGGGAUGGUGGGGACACUGUUGGGACCGCCUCUGCUAAAGAGGAGGAAGGAAUGGGCAACGGUAGGUCAGCAUGCCCCGAAUUAUCUGGGCUACAACGCGGGCUGCAAUGGGUGGGACAAUGGGUAUCGACACCGAAAGGUGAAGGCAAUCUCCUAAACCCAUCCGUAGUUCGGAUUGUGGGCUGCAACUCGCCCACAUGAAGCUGGAAUCUGUAGUAAUCGUGUCUCAAAAUGGCACGGUGAAUAUGUCCCUGCUCCUU
rnacentral:rRNA from 1 species